rnacentral:rRNA from 1 species
UACGUAGGGUGCAAGCGUUGUCCGGAAUUAUUGGGCGUAAAGAGCUCGUAGGCGGUUAGUCGCGUCUGCUGUGAAAACUCGGGGCUUAACCCUGGGCCUGCAGUGGGUACGGGCUGACUAGAGUGCGGUAGGGGAGACUGGAAUUCCUGGUGUAGCGGUGAAAUGCGCAGAGUAUCAGGAGGAACAGCCGGUGGCGAAGGCGGGGUCUCUGGGCCGUAACUGACGCUGAGGAGCGAAAGCGUGGGGAGCAAACAGG